rnacentral:rRNA from 1 species
CCUACGGGUGGCAGCAGUGAGGAAUAUUGGUCAAUGGGCGAGAGCCUGAACCAGCCAAGUCGCGUGAAGGAUGACGGCCCUACGGGUUGUAAACUUCUUUUGUCUGGGAGUAAUUGGGUCCACGCGUGGGCUUAGCUAGAGUACCUGAAGAAAAAGCAUCGGUUAACUCCGUGCCAGCAGCCGCGGUAAUACGGGGGAUGCGAGCUUUAUCCGGUUUUUUUGGGUUUAAGGGGUGCGUGGGCGGAAGUUCAAGUCGGAGGGAAAAAUUAGGGGCCAAACCCCAUAGUGCAGUUGAAACUGGUGGUCUUGAGUGGGGGAGAGGUAGGCGGAAUUCGCGGUGUAGCAGUGAAAUGCGUAGAUAUCGAGAGGAACACUGGUGGCGAAGGCGGGUUACUGGACAUUAACUGACGCUGAGGCACGAAGGCGAGGGGAGCGAACGGGAUUAGAUACCCGUGUAGUC